GAACGCUGGCGGCGUGCCUAAUACAUGCAAGUCGAGCGAACAGACGAGGAGCUUGCUCCUCUGACGUUAGCGGCGGACGGGUGAGUAACACGUGGAUAACCUACCUAUAAGACUGGGAUAACUUCGGGAAACCGGAGCUAAUACCGGAUAACAUGUUGAACCGCAUGGUUCAACAGUGAAAGACGGUCUUGCUGUCACUUAUAGAUGGAUCCGCGCCGCAUUAGCUAGUUGGUAAGGUAACGGCUUACCAAGGCAACGAUGCGUAGCCGACCUGAGAGGGUGAUCGGCCACACUGGAACUGAGACACGGUCCAGACUCCUACGGGAGGCAGCAGUAGGGAAUCUUCCGCAAUGGGCGAAAGCCUGACGGAGCAACGCCGCGUGAGUGAAGAAGGUCUUCGGAUCGUAAAACUCUGUCAUUAGGGAAGAACAAAUGUGUAAGUAACUAUGCACGUCUUGACGGUACCUAAUCAGAAAGCCACGGCUAACUACGUG
rnacentral:rRNA from 1 species